rnacentral:lncRNA from 1 species
CUGGCAAGGGCUCCUGGAAACUGGGGAGCUGUGUCAUUUAUGUGGCUCCAACUUUGAAAGACUGUAGGAAGGAAGCUCACAGGUCUGUUGAAACAACCCAAAUCACAGGCAUGCUUACUGUCUCUUAAGGCUCAGUUUUGCAAUCUUAGGAAAAGCACAUGUCCUCUCUGGGCCUAGUUUCUUUGUAAACCGAGAAACCUGGAUGGGCUGUUGAGCCUCCUGCUGGCUCUCAGUCCGGCAGAAAGCAACAGACUUUGCCAGAGGAGGAGGGCACCUUCCGAAGUACCAGGCAAGUUUCCUGGACAGGGUCUUGGAAUGCAGUGGUGUGAUCUUGGCUCACUGUCCCCCCAGGCUCAAGCCAUCCUUCCAUUUCAGCCUCGCGAGUAGCUGGGACUACAAGCAUGCAUCACCAUGCCCAGCUAAUUAUUUGUAGAGACAGUACAGUAUUUCACCACAUUGCCCAUGAAGGACUGGUCUUGAACUCCUAAGCUCAAGUGAUCUACCUUGGCCUCCCAAAGUGCUGGGAUCACAGCCAGAGAAUGUGCUCAGCCUUUAAGGGUUUAUGUGAUUUGGGACCCCUCAAGAGAUAAUCCAAAGAGCAGCAGAUGAAUAUCCUGCUCCCUGACAGCAAGCAGUAUCUAGGUUUACCCUCAUGUUCGCUGAUUUGAUUUGAUGCAAAAAAAAUCCAGAGCCUCAGGCCUCUGGUUUGGGAUGGCAUGGGAAACAGAAGAGAGGUACAGAUAUCUUAAGGGUGGUCUCUGAUGCUGAGGAGACCCCUCUCACCUGGAGCUGCUGACCAGCCCCAAGCACUGGGGUCCUGGUAGGCCUUAUGAUAAAUGAUGGCUGAAAAGACUGGGGGAAGCAUAGAGCUGAUGGAGGUGAAGGUGCUUUCCCAUGUCCUCCCUCCCCCAAAGACACAGGACAAGUGAAGAACCUCUUCAGACCACUGGUUAGUCUAUGAAUUCAAUUUCAGAUACACAAAAGCCUGGGUGAGGGGUGCUCCACAUAGAAAGAAAUGGAAGAGAUGCAGCUUUAAAAUACAGACGAUCAUUCAAAAAAAUUGUGACCAUUUGGGGUAUAAAGUUGGGUAUUAGUCAAUCAGCUAGAAUACAUGCUUCAGGAGGCCACAGAAUGGAGACGGAAUAAAACUAGAAAAAUGAUUGUUUUUGUGUCUAAAACUAAUGCACGACAGAGUCACAGCAGCAAUGCUAGGAGGAUGAGAUUCCUCAGCAAUGCCGGGAAGAUCUGAGAAAACCAGCAGGAGGAUGCCCACACUGGGAACAGAAAGCUCCAAGAUUGCUCCUUUCUCUUAAGAGAAAAUGACCUGCCUUGACUUCUGUUUCAAGACAGUCAACUAAUGCUGAACUAUAAAAACAAGGCUAACAAGAGACAGAAUAAAUACCAAAAAGCUCUCCGAGAUUCACUCCUGACAGUGAUAAUUAAAAACACAACCUAUGAGUUGUUAAAAAACCCCAAAAUAACAAGGAAUGCUUCUGAAAAAUAUGUACUUCAUCUAUUUAUUAUAACAAAGGAAAAUAAAAUGUGAAAAGUGAGUUGUUUUUAAGGGGGGAGUGGUGCCUGUGUCUGAUAAUAUCCUUGUUUUUCAUUCGUCUAGCCAAAAAGCUUUCCUGCUCCAAACCCCUUCAGCUCAUUCAAACAGGAAGGAUCAGC